AAAAUCACAUUUGACUUUUUUUACAUGCGCACCGGUACAAUUUUGUGGGGGAAGCAAAAGUUUGUGGAAAAUUGUGUUCUUUUAUAAACAAGUUUCAGUUCCUGAUACAUGCUGUUGCAGCCUUUGGCCAGUUUGGGAGCUGUUGAAAUAUCGGACAUUAUAUCCACAAAGAUACUACAUUGAUCAGUGUUUUGAUUGUGUGUACAGUUGCUUGACCCUAUGGCAUCCACAGAUGUUACCAUUUUGA
rnacentral:lncRNA from 1 species